rnacentral:lncRNA from 1 species
GACUUCCUGGUCCAGGUGUGGUCCUGGAGGCGUAUGGGAGCUACGCCCUUCAUCUGGCAUUCACUACUGGAGCCGAAUGAACAAGGGAGACCCUACUCAGUCCUAUAAAGAAGGGCCUUGUGCAGCCGGACAAAACCUGGGAGGUCCAGCCCUAAAAGCAUGUAACUGUGGACCACUAGAGGGUCUGUUCUGUUCUGCGGAGUUCACCUGAAGUCCACCAUAUCUAGGAAUUCAAGAAAGAAGAAAACUUAACAGGCACACAAAAAUGUAAUGUGAGUAGAAAUUUGAGUAAAAAAUAAAGUUCUCUAUGAAAUGACAAGAGCUGCAUUUAUGGCUAAAGCGUUGUGUAUCAAGGAUUCCAUAGGAAUGGAACCUGACCACUACCAUCCCUCCAUCACCACCUUCUCCUCAGCCCCACGUUGUGUUUCAAGCAUGUCAAUUUCAUAGGAGCGGAGCCUGACCACUGCUGUCCCUCCAUCACCACCUCCUUCCCACCCCCGCAUUGUGUAUCAAGGAUGUGAAUUCCAUAGGAGUGGAGCCUGCCCACUGCCAUCCCUCCAUCACUGCCCCCUCCCCAGCCCCGUGCUACACUGCAGCUUCACUCGUGCUGGGCAUUCCUACAUAUUUGUUGAGUGAACAAAUGAG